GAGACCCACGCCAACAGUUGCCAGCAUGUCCUCCGGGAUGAUGGGGACACUGUUGGGACCGCCUCUGCUAAAGAGGAGGAAGGAAUGGGCAACGGUAGGUCAGCAUGCCCCGAAUUAUCUGGGCUACACGCGGGCUACAAUGGGUGGGACAAUGGGUAUCGACACCGAAAGGUGAAGGCAAUCUCCUAAACCCAUCCUUAGUUCGGAUUGUGGGCUGCAACUCGCCCACAUGAAGCUGGAAUCCGUAGUAAUCGUGUUUCAAAAUAGCACGGUGAAUAU
rnacentral:rRNA from 1 species